UUCUGGCUCAGGAUGAACGCUGGCGGCGUGCUUAACACAUGCAAGUCGAACGGAGUUAUUGGAAGCUUGCUUUAAAUAACUUAGUGGCGGACGGGUGAGUAACGCGUGGGUAACCUGCCUUAUACCGGGGGACAACAGUUGGAAACGACUGCUAAUACCGCAUAAGCGCACAAGAAGGCAUCUUCUAGUGUGAAAAAACUCCGGUGGUAUAAGAUGGACCCGCGUCUGAUUAGCCAGUUGGCGGUGUAACGGACCACCAAAGCGACGAUCAGUAGCCGGCCUGAGAGGGCAAACGGCCACAUUGGGACUGAGACACGGCCCAAACUCCUACGGGAGGCAGCAGUGGGGAAUAUUGCACAAUGGAGGAAACUCUGAUGCAGCGACGCCGCGUGAGUGAAGAAGUAUCUCGGUAUGUAAAGUUCUAUCAGCAGGAAAGAAAAUGACGGUACCUGACUAAGAAGCCCCGGCUAACUACGUGCCAGCCGCUGC
rnacentral:rRNA from 1 species